GCCGUGGUGGCGGAAUGGUAUACGCAGCGGACUUAAAAUCCGCGGGCUGCAAGGCCAUGAGAGUUCGAGUCUCUCCCGCGGCA
rnacentral:tRNA from 1 species